ACCGCGUCCCGCUGCUGCGGGAUCCACGAGCAACAGUUGCCAUCUAGCGGCUCCUGGAGUCACUUGGACCCGGAGAGGUCGUGGGGGGAGCGUUCGACUUUUUCACCGAAUCAUGGAACCGUGCGGGUCGGAAAUGACCUUUAAGAUCAUCGAGUCCAACCAUUCUCUAACUCUACCAAGUCUGGCGCUAAACCGUGGGGCCCAGCACCACAUCUCUGCGUGUUUUAAGCCCCUCUCGGGAGGGCGGAUUGAUAUUUCGCCAGAUGAUUCUGUUCCUGCAGCUCAAGGACCCCUAAUAGGGGUGGGACGGCAGAGCAGCCCAUCAAGCACAUGGCUUGCUCUUGCGGCUUGAGGAAGUGAAAGGCAGCGAGGUGUGCGGGGACUGGAGGCACACCAGGGACUGUCCUGCUGCUGCCUGGUGAGGGGGUUUCAAAAGGCAAACUCCAGUCCAUGAGCGACAAGGGAGAGAUGUUAUGGAAGGGGAAACUAGAGGAGGUUUGGACUCUGGUGGCUGCGCACAAGCACAGCGGGAGCAGACGCUCACAUCCAGUGACCCCAUGCAUGUACUAUACAUUUACAAGGGGUUUUCACUCUACGCGAGCCGAUGCUGUAGCCUGAACGCCCAUCAGUGCCUGGGGAGUGUGAGAUCAAGCCCAGCACGAUGCAAAGUCUAUCUGCUAUCCAGCAUUCUGCCAUUUCUGGACCAGCUCAUCUUUCAAUCACAUGCAAUGGGGGACUCUGUCCCCCACGGAUAUAAUCUUCUCAUCCUCCAGCUCCCUUGUAACACGGCCAAGGGCUCUGCAGGAAGAAGAGGUGCACU